AGAUCCCUAAUUAAGGUUCUUCAUGCUGAGCAAAAAUCUUGAUUCAGGACUCACUAAAGCAUCAUGAAUUACCUAGUUGGAGCUUUCAAACAGCCGUGUAAUAUUUUCAUUUCAUUUGCUGGUGGAAGAAGCCGCAAGCAGGUUAAAGAAGGAAAAUGGGAAAACAGUUACGGCUGCUCUCUUUCAGAGCCAAGAAAAUAUUGUAGGAGAGGUGGUUAUAGAACCAAUACAUGGGAAGAAGGUUGAACAAAAUGGUGUUAAAAUUGAGCUCCUUGGUCAGAUAGAAUUGUAUUUUGACAGAGGCAACUUCUAUGAUUUCACCUCUCUUGUACGCGAACUUGAUGUUCCUGGUGAAUUAUACGAAAGAAAAGCAUAUUCAUUUGAAUUUUCAACGGUGGAGAUGCCAUAUGAGUCUUAUAACAGAGUGAAUGUUAGAC